CCAGAACCACGUUUCCCAGCAGCCGUAACGCAGGUCCCCUCGCAAGCCCCGCCCCCUCCUUCCACGUGGGGCUCGCCUACAUUUCCCAGGAAGCCUGAGGACCACGCCCUUUGGAAUAAGCAGAGCUCGGCAGUGUCCAAUCAGAGCUCACACCUUUCCUCCCCACCCAUCGAGUCUCGCCCCGAGGCACUUUGGGAAAUGUAGUCUGGUCGUGCGUCUACGGGUAGGAAAACCAGAAGCCACAGCCUAAAGUUCGCUUAGGUUGUAACCGGUGGUCGGGUCUUCCCGAUUUUUCAAAACCUUUCACCCAGAUUUAUCUAUUGCUAACAGUUUGCCCCACGGCUUUACCUUUAUCGUAAUCUAUCUAUCCAUCCAUUCAUCGCCCGCCUGUCCGUCCUAACCCAAUCACCAGGGACAAACCAAAGUCGGGUUUACUGACCCAUCGCAAUGAAGGAGACCACAUCCCAGAGGAGGAGCUGUGAGUGUCCGUAACAGCAGUAGUUGUUACUGCAUCUGCUACAGACCUUCUAUAUUUGGGUUUAAUACUUUAAAAUAUGGAAAUUCAUGAAAGAAACCUCAACUAGAUUGGAGUUGAGUGGACCUGAAUGGGGAGUUCUCACACCCUGCUGCACAUCGUCAAUUACACCAAACAGGAAGCGAGGGACCUUUGCAUCUUGGACAGAAAGUAAAACUACUUUGCUACUGAAGGAAGAUUUCUUUCCCCACCUGGCAACAGCCCAGCCAAUGAGAAACACUGCAGCCCAGCCAAUGAGAAACACUGCAGCCCAGCCAAUGAGAAACACUGCAGCUCAGCCAAUGAGAAACGCCACAGCUCAGCCAAUGAGAAAUGCCACAGCUCAGCCAAUGAGAAAUGCCACAGCUCAGCCAAUGAGAAACACCACAGCUCAGCCAAUGAGAAACGCCGCAGCUCAGCCAAUGAGAAACACCACAGCUCAGCCAAUGAGAAAUGCCGCAGUUCAGCCAAUGAGAAAUGCCGCAGCUCAGCCAAUGAGAAACACCACAGCUCAGCCAAUGAGAAACGCCGCAGCUCAGCCAAUGAGAAAUGCCGCAGCUCAGCCAAUGAGAAACGCCGCAGCUCAUCCAAUGAGAAACACCACAGCUCAGCCAAUGAGAAAUGCCACAGCUCAGCCAAUGAGAAACCCCACAGCUCAGCCAAUGAGACGCUGUUGCCACCCUGAACUGUUACUCUCCCCCAAUGGACUUUCCUUUAGAGCAGCCCCUCCCCCUCCCUCUCCCCCUUUUUCUCUAUAAAGGCAGCUCCCCUCCUUUGUUCUCUGGAUUUGAACUAUGGUUCGUCACAGCACGGACAUCCUGAAUUGCAAUUCUUUUGGCUGUUCCCAAAUAACUUUGUUCUGAGGCUUUUCAAGUCGACAAGAACACAGAAUGUCUAGGAGAAAAGAAUUUCCUGUUUGUCAUUUCAAUUCUUUUAGCUCCCCUUGUUUUAAAAUACUUAAAAUCUAAAGGGGUGCAAGGGCACUUUGGGGUGCUGGAACCGUGCUGUGUCUGGGUUGGGGUGGUGGUCACACAAUGUAUGCACUUGUCAAAACCCUAAAACUGCCCCUGCAAGCGUGAAUAACACUGUAUACAAAUAAUGCCUUAAUUUAAAAAAUACUUAGAGUCAAUUUUUUUCCUUUUUUCUCAUAUUAAGGAUACAGAUUUGACAACCUUAAAUUUAAGAGCUCUGUGUAUAAAAAACAACUCACACUAAAAUUAAAGGUGAA
ensembl:lncRNA